UCGAAACACCAGUUCCCGUACGAUCACCGAAGUUAAGCAACGUUGAGCACGGUCAGUACCUAGAUAGAUGGGUGACCGUUUGGGAAUACGAGGUGCUGUAAG